UUUGAUCCUGGCUCAGAUUGAACGCUGGCGGCAUGCUUUACACAUGCAAGUCGAACGGCAGCACGGGCGCAACCCUGGUGGCGAGUGGCGAACUUCUGAGUAAUGCAUCUCAACGUACCCAGUUGUGGGGGAUAACGUAUCGAAAGGAACGCUAAUACCGCAUACGUCCUGAGGGAGAAAGCGGGGGACCGAAAGGUCUCGCGCGAUUGUAGCGGACGAUGUCUGAUUAGCUAGUUGGUGAGGUAAAGGCUCACCAAGGCGACGAUCAGUAUCUGGUUUGAGAGAAUGACCAGCCACACUGGGACUGAGACACGGCCCAGACUCCUACGGGAGGCAGCAGUGGGGAAUCUCGGACAAUGGGCGCAAGCCUGAUCCAGCAAUGCCGCGUGAGUGAAGAAGGCCUUCGGGUUGUAAAGCUCUUUCGGACGGGAAGAAAUCGCGCGCUCUAACAUAGCGUGUGGAUGACGGUACCGUAAUAAGAAGCACCGGCUAACUACGUGCCAGCAGCCGCGGUAAUACGUAGGGUGCGAGCGUUAAUCGGAAUUACUGGGCGUAAAGCGUGCGCAGGCGGAUGGAUAAGACAGAUGUGAAAUCCCCGGGCUCAACCUGGGAAUGGCGUUUGUGACUGUUCAUCUCGAGUAC
rnacentral:rRNA from 1 species